rnacentral:lncRNA from 1 species
UCGAUACACUGAAUGCAUUAAUUCUUGUGCUAAAAGUAGAGGAUAUACGCCAACUAGGUAAAAAGGCUCCCUCUUUCUUUGAAAUCAAAGAAGGUAAAAUCCUCUGCAAUCUUUGAACCAUAGACCUUAGCUAUAAUCUUGUACACUGUAUUACAGAGACUAAUAGGAUGAUAAUCGUUUGCCAUUUGAGGAUUGAUCUUUUUAGGCACCAAAGUAAUAUAUGCAUUAGCCCA